UCUUAUGUCAGUGACAUCAUAUCCUAUAUGCUGAAAAGUUAUUAAUAUUAUAUAAAACACUGGCAUUUUUUCAUAUUUUAAAGCGAGAUUCUUAUAUUACAGGCCAACAUUUUCUGCUUGAUAAUAAGGGCCCAGGUAAUAGUUGUUUUGUUCUAUUAUCAGCUGUUAAGACCUGGGGUCAGUGCCAUGUGGGGAUUGAUGAAAACCCUUAAAAUCUGCAUAUGCUUUCAGACCCUUUUCCACACAGGUGAAAGUAGAAUAGUUGAAUUGAGCAAAAUGAGCUGUAUCUGUACUGCUUUCCCCUUCUGCUCUUAUCCUUUCUGAACCACUCCCUCUUUCCACCACUAGUUUUCUUUCCUCUCUGCUACCUUUUCUCACCACUAAUACUGAUAUCUUCUUUACCCUUGUCCUCUGAUCUUUUCCACUCUGCUUUCCUCUCAUUAUAUUCUUUCAUUCCAUUUCCUUGUUCAACAUCCUUUUCUUCUCUUCACAAUUUUGCUUUUUUCUGCCUAUUUCAUUAUGCCCCUUCUUUCCAUUUUUUGUUCUGUUGCUCUUUCUGUUACCCCCAUCUAUGUUAUUUUUUUGGCACUCUACUUUUGCACCCUCUUCCUACAUAGCCUGCUCCCACCCAUUUUUAUGGAAAACGUUUCACAGCAUCUGCUUAGGACUGUGUGCAUUUCUGUAAAAUUGAUCUGUGUAGUUGGACUGGGCAGUCAACAGUGGGGUCACAGAUAAAACCCCAGCAGACUACCCAUUCUCACUACAUGGCUCAAUCCUGUAUUUGAACAAGUGCACCUUACUUUUUACCAUACCAACCAGGAGGUUGGGCAGGUGCAGCGGGAAGGUUGAAGCAGGAAUUGUCUCUAAUCCUGCCCCUACGUAUAAAGUGGUUUGUCAUCCCAUACCAAUUUACCAAUAAUUGCAGUGUAGUACUACUGUUGUAUAGAAAAAUAUCAGUACCACUGAUGUAGAUGCUACAAUACCACUGAAAAAGUCAAAGUUAAUUCCAGUUCAAAAGUCUGUCUGAAGUCUCUUGUUCAGUGUCAAGGGGAACUGAGAUCAGUAUGCAUGAACCUAUUGAGGCUAAGCAGCAGUCUCUACAAGGAAGGGGGUUAUUGUGUGUCACAAAAGUAUCACUUUAUUUCCACGUUUGUUUUGCAGACUGCAUUAUUCUUUAUAAAUAACAACCAUUGACUGUGAGAAAAUAUAGAAGAAACAAAUAUGGUAUCAGGUGCCGGCACAGGAUGUUUUUUUGGGGGGGAAUUUUUCCUGUUUCUGGUAAACAUAUGGGAAGCUUUUGUGAGGCAGAUUAGGGGAGGGUGGGAGGGGGGUUCUUGUUUUAUUGUUUGAACACCUGCUCUGCUCCUGAAUCCAGAAGGAAACUCACAUUCCCAUUCCAUUGACAGGAUUCAGACCUGAACGGGAGGGUUUGACGCUGCUGGAUAAAGUGCCUAGCUAUUAACUGCUUCCAAUGUCUAAUUAUUCUGUGAUAACACAAGAGAAGAAAAAAAUUACAAUAACUUCCCCUCCUAAAUAGCUUCCUGCGGGGUUCCUGUGCGUACAGCCCCUCUACACAAUACUUUAUCCAAGCCUUAAGGCAGUGAAUCCACUCUAUUAUUUAUGAGCCAUAGUCAAGAAUGAAUGUUAUUAGAAAACAGAAUUCCUGGCCAACAGUGCCUAUAAAACAAGCCAGGUUUAAAUCUUUCACUAUAACUAAAUAUAUGAUUAAAUCAACAUUUCCUUGUGAAAUGAAAAGCAAAAACAUUCUGCGCUGUAAAAAUACAAUCUAUACAGUUUAGCAUGAAAUCUAAACAUGCUGUAAUUACAUGUAUCUGUACUGUCUUGCAGCUAGAAUUGGAGUGUCAAUAUAGAAAAACAAUACAUUGAUUGCAUUUUACUGCCAGAGGGGAUCAGGUACCCAUACAUGAAAGUGCAGAAACCAUUUAUACAGGGGCAAUAAACCCGAGGAAUUGAUCAGAGAAGCAGCUCAGAACGUGACAGCGUCCUGUAAAAUGGGCCGUGACUGUUGAUGGCUAUGGGGAUACUAUUCUUUAAUAAGCACGGGAUGUCCUACUGGGGACCAGCCAAUAAAAAACCUUUGAUUUCUGUGGAUGGCGUCUCUACUGGCAUUACACAAAAACAUCUCUUGUAACUCUGGAGCCAGCAGACUGACUCCUAAUUUGUUCAAAUGAUUUACUUACAGACAGACUCUCUGCAAAAUGACUCACUGUUGUGUCCAUUAGAUUGCACAUGCCUGAGAAACCUGGCCUCUCCUGUGACACUCAGUCCCAUUGUCAUUUAGAUACACAGUGUAUGGGGGCUUCCGACGGGUCUUCCCGAUCGAUAUCUGGCCACGAUAUCGAUAGGGAAGGUUGGAUUUUUGACCGACCCGUCGGAGCCCCUUGGCGCAUCAGAAUUCGAUUGUUCGGCCAUACGGCCGAACGUUCGAAUUACCCCCGAUAUAGCCAUGCCGUUAGUGGCAUAUCGGGGAAAGAUGUCGCCAAACGAGCGGAUCUUUGAGUCUAUGGCCACCUUAAAGCUCACAGAGUCAUUCAGCAUAUCUCUACCUAUGAUGAUGCUUAAAGAGUAUUCUUGGAGACUUUCAAAGUCAAAAACAUCUUCAGUUCUUCCCUCCGAAACUAGCUUUAAAGCAGUUAGGGUGGGUAAGUUGUGUUGACUGAAACGGCUAGAUUAAUCUUUGGUAUAUAUUCCUUGCCAACAGUGGAAUUUAGUUUCCUUGGUAUUGUAUAUACUGUAUAUACACUCUAUAUUUAUGAUCCAGAGAACAUUGUAGCCUCUUCUGUCACAUCAAUAUAGUAACUUUAUGAAAAUUCCUAUUUGAUAGAUGGUGCUCUUUACACAAGAGGAUGGGAAAGCCCCUCACACACAAACCCUACAUUCCCUAUGACAACACAAGGGUCUAAUUCCAAAUUAUAGGCAACAUUUCUGGGACAGGUUUGUGUAACUUUGAAAGAAUAAUAGCCAAAGCUCUUUACUGACCAUGUCCCAAAGGCUUUCUUAUCAGAUGGUAACCUGACCCACGCAGUGCCUUAUUAAAUUAUCAUCAUUAGGAACUUUUCACCAAGCUAAAGCCUGGUUUUAGAUCAAGUUCUCAAGGCAUCUCCUAUGUUACCUCCAGGGAUUCAACUCUGCUCCAGUGGUUUGUACAGCCCAAGAUCAGAACAUAAGGGGCUUUGUAUUAGACGCAGAUACUAAAGCACAAACUGGAAGUGUCAGAUUCAAUUAACUCUGCAGAACUGUGCCAUAUACUGAUUGCAGUGGAGUCCUAACCUAUGGCAGUCUACUUGAUAAACUAUAACUUGCAGAUACCCAGAGGGUUAGUAUUGUUGUUUUUGGAUGCAAUGUACUGAAAUACUAAAUGACUUUAAAUACUG